GCUCCUGUGAUCCCUCGUCACUCGACGAGUCAUCCUCGGCUGACCUGCCACUGGCCAGCUCCUUUGCACCUGACGGCAGGUCACUCGUCGGCAAGCACCUCGGAUUUCCCUUCCUUGGCCUCCGGCAGCUGUUUGGUCAUGCUUUCUCUCUUACGCCAAAACCACCAGCGACCAGAUUUCUUUGGCAUCUUAUCUUUGACCCAGGACUCGACUGAGGCCUUAGGCAAGCUCUUCUGGAACACUUGUAAGCUAAGGAUCAUGGGAGCAGCCAAAGCCCAGUUAUAGUAACGGUUAUAUAUCCGUAUUACAAGGUUAGGAUUGUCUAUAAGUCCAGGGUUUUCUGCAAAUUCAUGAUAAGUAAUGAUAUGCUCCACGAAUUUUUCUUUAGAAAUUUCUCCAUUCUCACUGAGGCCCCCACAAAGGGAGAGGGUGACGUCGGGCAAGUCCAUGGUAGAAUCCAAGAGGCACUCAGUGCCACUAUCAGUGGCCGCGCUUCCCACGGACUGCGGGGACUGGGAGCCAGAAGGCGUGUCAGACUCGGGUCACUGCCUGGAGACGGGGUCUGAUCCACUUUUAGGGAAACAGAGAGCUGCGACUUCAGGUUCUAGAGCCUUUAAAUCAUCUAGGUAAAUAUCAUCAGGUCCCUGGUGUUGGCUUCUCUUGUGGACACCUUUCUUCUUUGACGGCGAGUCUACCUUAGCUGCUGGUUUUGAUUCUGAGGGAGCCUCCAGCAACGAGGGGUUGGGAAGGUGGUCUGCAUCUAACAUAGAUGAAAUCGGAGGUGGCAAGGCAAAGGCUAAAGACAUCAGUAAAGAAGUCAGAGAAGUCAAUAAGGAGUUCGAUCAAAAGCAUGUGAUCCUGUAGAAUUCACAGAAUCCGUGUAGACCAGAACACGAAGCUCAGGACAAGGAGAGGCCUCCAGGUGAAAAGCUACAGCAUGGUGAGUUGCUAUAGCUGUCUUCGAGUCACACACUGCUUGCACAUUUUAACCCUGCUCCUUGAGGGGAAAUGGAUGGAGUUUCUGAUAGAUCCUGGCCAUUGAAUAUAAAGGCAGGAGUGUGGGAUUUAUAUCCGCAUAGAUUUGGACUCAAAUUUCUCCUCUGCCUCUUCUUAGCAGGUAAUAGCAGGCAAUCACCAGCCUCCAGAGCUCCAGUUUCC
rnacentral:lncRNA from 1 species